GACGGGUUAAUCAACCUGUUAAAAGGACAUCCAGCAAAUCAGUUCCCACUUUCCAAAUCAAAAUGGUAAAACCUUUCGGCAAACAGUGUUCAUAUAUAGAAUCAUUUUGCUUCAAAAAACAACAGAACCACUCAAUUCUCCAUCUAUCCUAAAGAUGGUAGCAGGGGAUAUUACAGUUUACAUAACUAUUUAGGGCAUUUCAGAGAGCUCUAGUCCUGGAUAUACCACAGAUUAUGGCAUCAAUAUGUUCACAUAACAUCUUGCAUCAAAGGAAUAGUUUGAACAAAACAACACAAUCCUAUUAAUUAUCACAUUUCCGCCCUAUUCAACCUCCCAAAGUAGAGCUUCACGCCAACACGAACAAUUUAAGACACAUCAGAGGUAAUGGUAAAAAUAUUUAUUUCAUGCAAACCUUAUCAAAGAAAGGCCUACAAAACUGCAAAUGACAGACAUACACGAUACAUCUCCACAACUGCAUUGCUUCUAACGUGGGCCGACAACAUAGAACACCAACUUACCAUAAAUCAUCAAAAAUCCAAUUUGUCGGAUUUCAUUCAAGAAUACAACCAUUUUGCAGAAACAAUGAAAUUAUCCAUCAAAGUAUUCAAUAUUGUCGAGCAUUGAAAGUAUUUUGUGCACAUUAUUCAAAUAAACCUUAAAACUGAUCGCGCAUUGACAGGUCUCGGGAUUAAGAUAUUACGGAAUGUCCCACGGCUUGGGCUCAGGCACGGCUACCACCAUACCUUGAAGCUCAGGAGUGAGAACGACCUGGCAACCGAGCCUUGAGUGCUUAUUCAUGACCCUAGAACGAGAAUUCCUCUUCAAUACAUACUGCUCGUCAUAAGUGGGAGGGGACAACUUCUCAAGCCACUCCUGGGCGAUGUGGACCUCGCAUUCGGCCGAGCACGCGUCGAUCUCUUCAAGCCCGUGGGAAGCCGGGUCGAUUAAACCCUUAUUAGUCAAGGCCUUCAGGACGGUUUGGCCCGAUAGCCCCACUACCUGGCGCUUGAGGCCAUCCGGAUCCACUGCAAAGAGCUUGACAAGUCGAUCCGAGACCUUGGCUGAAGUAGCGGCCGUGGAGGAGGCGGAGGAUCGGCCAAUUACAGCGCGAGAGUAGAGGGCAAAAGAAGGAUUUUUGGUAAUUUGGGAGGCCAGGAAAUUGCCAUCGUUGUACGAGGAAAUUGCCUAAAUAAAAGGGUGCUUUGUAUGAUUAGACCAAAAAAUAUAAAUAUGUGAGAAAU
rnacentral:lncRNA from 1 species